AUUGAACGCUGGCGGCAGGCCUAACACAUGCAAGUCGAGCGGAUGAAGGUAGCUUGCUCCUGGAUUCAGCGGCGGACGGGUGAGUAAUGCCUAGGAAUCUGCCUGGUAGUGGGGGAUCACGUCCGGAAACGGGCGCUAAUACCGCAUACGUCCUGCGGGAGAAAGUGGGGGUUCUUCGGACCUCACGCUAUCAGAUGAGCCUAGGUCGGAUUAGCUAGUGGGUGGGGUAACGGCCUACCAAGGCGACGAUCCGUAACUGGUCUGAGAGGAGGAUCAGUCACAGUGGAAGUGAGACAGGGUCCAGGCUCCUACGGGAGGGAGCAGUGGGGAAGGGUGGAAAAGGGGCGAAAGCCUGAGCCAGACAUGGCGAGGGUGCGAAGAAGGUGUUCGGAUUGGGAAGGACUUUAAGUUGGGAGGAAGGGCAGUAAGUUAAUACCUAGCUGUGUUGACGUUACCAACAGAAGAAGCACCGGCUAACUUCGUG
rnacentral:rRNA from 1 species